rnacentral:ncRNA from 1 species
GAUCAAUUUAACUCUGGUUGUAAAAGAUUUAAAAACUCUUACUUCAUAGGUAUUUUAUUUUUUGUGGUUUAUGCAGUUUUGUGUGUGUCUUAGUGGUUAGUUCUCGUUUUUAAGGGGAACCUUGAUCGGGGGGUUUUGUUUUAAUAUAGUGGAUAACUCACAGUGCCAGCAUCUGCGGUUAUUCUGUUGGCUAUUUUCUUUGGUUGUUGGUUUAAGUUGUUUGCAGGAUAUAUUUAAUAUUAGGUAAAAUUUUUAUUAUUGUGUUAAUUCUCCUGUAGGAUUUUUAAUAAGUCUGUAAAAGAAGGGGAUUAGAUACCCCCUUAUUGGAUUUGGUAAUUUUUUACCAUGGUAUAAACUAAAAGAGUUUGGCAGCUGAAGAUUCUAUCCGGGGGAGUGUGUGUCUGAAAAGAUGUUCCACUGAAGAUUUUACCACUCUUAGAUUAGUUGGUGUACAUCCGAUUUAAGAUUUAUAGUUAGAGCUAUAUGGUGUUGUCAUAAACUUAAGUCAGGUCAAUGUGCUGCUAACAGGGUGGUUGAUGUGCACUACAAUUUGUAAAAAACUUUGUUGAAAUAAAAAGUUUUAUUAAGGACUCGGAAGUAGGUGAUAAAUAGUUUGUUUCAUCGAAAUUGGUUUAUUCGGGGUACACACCGCCCGUCAUUCACGGCGAGAGUUGUGAGAAGUCGUAACAUGGUAGCGUUAUGGGAACUUGACGCUAGUAAAUA